rnacentral:misc_RNA from 1 species
AUAAAGGCGAUCGCGCCGUAGCACAUACGCGAGAAUUCGCGGCUUGGCUUUUUUCUAAGAAGAAAUUCGGACUAUGAUUUCAGAAAUAAUAACUUUCUUUUAAGUUAAUUUUUUUCCUACUAUUUUUUCGUUGAUUACAAAAUAACAAGCUUCUUACGUUAUUUGUAUUACCGAAUAUUUUAAGAAAGUCAUGCCUUCAGAUUCAGAGGGAAAUCACAAUAAUUCAAGUGAUUUUAUCUAUCUGAGAAAGAGUAAGAUUUCGAAAAGUAAUCCAAAUUUGUCAAAAUUACAAGUCAAUCAAUUACAAGGAAAGACGAUGGACAGUUCUGGCGAUGAAGAUCACGAAAAUAAAUUUUCUCCAAGGAAACUUAGAACAAGGGGCAAUCUAAGCUCUAACUCAACUGCUCGUUACGGUAGCGGCUCGCAUUCGGAUGAUGGUGGUUAUAGACGAUCCAGUCUAAAACGGAAUAAAUUACUUCAUUUGGAUACUGGAUCGGAAUCGGAAAAAGACGCUGAUUAUUCUAUUAAGAAAACUAGAACGAACAAAUUGUCAGAAUCAAAAAUAUUGAAUUCUUGUAAGCAAGUCCGAAAGCGAAGUUCUUAUGAGGAAUCUCUUUACUUCCGUAGUAAUAUACGACAUUCCUCACCGAUGUACAUACGUCGAAGUAGUCGAAACAAAAAGGCUGUUUACUCAACUUUAAAUCAGUCAUUGAUUGGAGAUCCAGGAAUUUCAGAUUAUGAAACUAAGCAUAAGAGAGCAAGAAGCUCAGAUGAAGAUAAUAUGUUUAGGGGUUACGGAUUGAGGAAGAGAAUAAAAAGAGAUAUGUAUGGACUACCUGUCAAUUUUAACGAUGAAUAUGACGAUGAAAAUGGUGCAGCUGCUAACAUAAGCUCAAGGUCAUUACGAUUGAAGAAAAGAGAAGAAAGAAGAAAAGAGGUAGAAAUUGUAAACAAUUCAAAUGUAGAUCAAAAUGAUGAAGUGGUAGAAGACAACGAUAAAGAGAAAGACGAUGAAGAAUUAGAAGAAGACGAUGAUGAAGCGGGAGAAGUUAAAAAGAAAAAGUCUGAAAGAGUAGUAGAAAAUAUUGAAGUCGGUGGAGAGGAGGAGGAGGAGGAGGAAGAAGAAGAAGAAGAAGAAGAAGUAGAAGAUGAAGAAGAAGGCGAUGAUAAUAACAAGUCUCUAGGCGAUAUAAAACCACGACAAUAUUUCCUGAGAGAACGACGACAAACUGAAGAAAUUGAAUCGCAUCGUAAAACUCCCAAUUUACGAAGACGGAAAAAUGGAAUGAAGGAUUCGGUAUAUUACAAUUCCCCAGCAGUCCGAAGACAUAAAAGUCACCGUCAAUUACGAGAUAGGAAGAACAUUGACUUUCGUCAUUUUUUUAAUCCUACGUCUACACCUUCUUCAAUAUCAAAGCACCACCAUUCAGCGCAUCAUAGUUCGUCUAAUACUUCUAGUGAAACAGAUGAUGAUAGAGAGUUUGAAAGAAGGAAAGCAAAAAGUAUGGCAAGAGCAAGAAAUAGAUGUUUGCCAAUGAAUUUCAAACAAGCAGAUAUCACUUCAGUCGUCAUGAAAUCGCGUGUAAGGAUUGGCUCUUCCUUGGCAGAUGUUAAUCCGAUGAACAUAGAUAAAGAUGUUUCUUUCGAACAAGUUAAAGGAUUAUCAAAAUAUAUUCAACAUUUGAAAGAAAUGAUUUUAUUCCCAUUGUUAUAUCCUGAAUUCUUUGAAACUUUUGGUACUGAAUCUCCUAAAGGUGUACUAUUCUAUGGUCCUCCUGGAACUGGAAAAACUUUAGUUGCUAGAGCCUUAGCAAAUGAAUGCUCAAAACCAGGAAAAAAGGUUGCCUUUUUCAUGAGAAAAGGUGCCGAUUGUCUCAGUAAAUGGGUUGGAGAGAGUGAAAGGCAGUUACGAUUAUUAUUUGAUCAGGCAUAUCAGAUGAGGCCCUCCAUUAUAUUUUUUGAUGAGAUUGAUGGUUUGGCUCCUGUGCGUUCUUCGAAACAAGACCAAAUACACUCAUCCAUAGUUUCAACUCUUUUAGCAUUGAUGGAUGGAUUGGAUUCACGUGGCGAGAUUGUUAUUAUUGGGGCGACUAAUAGAAUAGAUUCCAUUGACCCCGCACUUAGGCGUCCUGGUAGAUUUGAUCGAGAAUUUCAUUUUCCACUGCCAGCUUUCAAAGCUCGUAAGGACAUUCUAAAGGUUCACACUUGCAAAUGGGAGCCAAAAAUUAGCGACUCGUUUCUCAUGCAAAUUGCUGCAAAAAGUCACGGCUUUAGUGGAGCCGAUCUAAAGGCUGUUUGUACCGAAGCUUCUUUGAGGGCUCUUAAGAGAACCUUUCCUCAAGUUUAUAACUCUCACGAAAAAUUGGCAUUGGAUGUUAAAGGAAUCAGAGUUGACGCAUCUGACUUUGCUAAUGCUUUAAAGUCGAUUGUCCCAACAAGUGCCCGAUCUGUUCAACCUGUCGGCAGAAAUCUACCUGGGAGAGUGAGGGCUAUUUUACAAGAUUCAGUAGAUCAUGUUUUGAAUAAGAUCAGAUAUGUAUUUCCUGAAGAAGUCACUAAGAACAAGUUGUAUGAUGAAAGUGAUGAUGAAAUGGUGGUAGUUGGCACUGGUAUACUGAUUUUCAUUUUUUUUACAUAUGGACUAAAUAAUAUUUUUGCAGGAAAUAUUUAUGAGGAUGAGCCUAACUGUAUUCAACACUUAGAAUCUACCUUGGAUCGAUUAACAUGUAUUUACAGACCGAGAGUACUUGUCACGGGUAAAGAAGGGAGCGGUUUAUACACAUACAUAGCUCCAGCUAUUCUAAACGCUUUAGAACUGCCAGUUUAUACAAUAGAUAUACUAGCUCUGAGUCAUGAUAAUUAUAGAACCCCAGAAGACGCUUGUGGUCAUAUCAUAAAACAAGCCAAAAGUACCUGCCCUUCUGUUGUCUAUUUACCAAAAGUCAACGAAUUUUGGGAUUUGUUAACGGAAUCAACAAAAUUAACAUUUCUAAAUUUAAUCAGGGAUUUAGAUCCGUCUCUUCCUGUUCUUAUUUUUGCCACUAAUUCUGAUGACGGGGAUAUUAUCGAGGAACUCUUUACAACGACUGAAAGUCGUAUAAAAUUGCCUAUAAUCUCUUCAGAAAAAAUACGUUUAUAUUUCUCAUCUUUGAUUAUGAAUGAAAUCCUACAGAUUCCUCCCACAAAAAUUAGUAAAAGCAGUUUACAGCCUCUUCCUCCAGUUCCAAUAAAUGAACAUAAGCAGUUAACUGAAAAAGAAUUGCGUAUGGUUCUUAAGCAAGAAGAAUCUGUUCUUCGAGAGCUGCGAUUAUUUUUAAGGGAUGUUAUAAAUAAGCUAUCUCGCGAUCGAAAGUUUAACGUCUUUACAAAACCGGUGGACAAAGAAGAAGUACCAGACUAUUAUGAUAUUAUAGAGCAUCCUAUGGACUUGAGCAAGAUGAUGUCAAAGAUAGAUAGAGAGGAAUAUAAAACUGUAAAGCAAUUUUUGGAAGAUAUAGAUUUAAUAUGCUUUAAUGCUUUAGAGUAUAAUCCCCCGUUGGAUGCCCAAAGUCGAUCUAUUAGGCAUCGAGCUUGUGCUUUAAAAGAUACAGCUAGAGGUAUCCUAGAAGCUGAUUUAGCAUCAGAUUUCGAGAAAAUGUGCGAUGAUAUUUACGAAGCAAGACAACAGAGGGAAAGUGAAGAAAAAAAGCAAGCACCUCAUGUAAUUAUUAACGAAGUUGACAACGAAAAAGAAGAAAGAGAUCAAGAAAGAGAUCAAGAAAAGGAAAAAGAAAAGAAAAGACACUCCUCUUCUCCUCUUAAUAAAUCGCCAGGGCGAAGUUCGCCCCAACGUACUCAUAAUCUUAAUAGUAAUUUAGUAUCAUUCGAUGAUAUACCAGAAUGUAUUCCUCAGCCAUCUCCUGGUCAUAAAAUUUUUAUGAAGCGAGUCAGGAAAGCUAGAUCAUCGAAACAUGUUCUCUCGCCUUUUUGUAAACCAACUAAAAUUAAGUAUGUUAAAGUUUUCAUUAAAACUGAUGAGAAUGGAAUAGAAAUUGCAAGAUAUGAUAAGCAUGGAAAAGAAAUUGAAACUGUCAAAUUAAAUGAUCAUUGUAACGUUGAGGAAGAGGUUAUGGAUGGUAUUGAAGAUGAGAGCCUAGAGAAAGAAGAAAUAAUAAAAAAAGAAGAGGUUAUUGAAAAUUCUCGUCAUGAGAAUGUAAUGGAAGUUUCUGAAAAGGAGCAGGAGGUCGAAAAGAAAUUGGAUAUCUGUAAGAGUGAGUUAGAAGUUAUUCUUGAAGAAUGCGUUCAAAUAUGUUCAGGGAAAAAUGUUGAAGAAAUAGAGUAUUUAUAUUCCAAUCUUGCCAGAGUAGCUAGACAUUAUGUGGAUAAAUGGGAAAGAAAACAGUUAAUUCAGGAACUGCAGUGUGUAUUAGCUAUGGAAAAUAAUAAACACAAAAAUUGGUAG